AUGCAUGUGUGCCACCCAGGCUACACAAAGAAGGCCCAAUAUUUUUUUGGACAGGAUAAGUGCACUUCAGGCCACCCAGGGUCGAGCAUUCAGCAGCGACGCCAGAGGAGAUACCUUUGUGCGAGACUGCUCUCGGUUGAAAAUAUCCAAAGGUUGGUGCCUCAAGCUAAACUUAUCGCCCGUGAUUCUUUCCCUUUUAUUGCUAUCAAGUUUGAUCCAUCUGCUCCAUGCAACCCCUUCUCUGGACAAGCGAUGGUUAUAGUCGUCAUGGACUCCGAUGAGAUUCUCGACGAAGCGAUACCCGAGUGGUUGGAAUUGGCAAUCAUAUGCUUCCAGCGGUAUCACUCGCCAUGA
rnacentral:rRNA from 1 species